rnacentral:misc_RNA from 1 species
GCAUCUAGCUGCCCGUUUCAAUAAGCCCGACAACAAGAUCAUUGACCAUUACACGUAUGCUAUACUAGGGGAUGGUUGUAUGAUGGAAGGCAUUUCACAUGAAGCUUGCUCACUUGCUGCACAUUGGGGUCUAGGAAAGCUGAUUGCUUUCUACGAUGAUAACCAUAUUUCCAUCGACGGAGACACAAAGAUUGCAUUUACAG